GCCUCUUUAGCUCAGCUGGUAGAGCAAUUCAUUCGUAAUGAAUAGGUCGUUGGUUCAAGUCCGACAAGAGGCU
rnacentral:tRNA from 1 species